rnacentral:rRNA from 1 species
GUGGGGAAUAUUGCACAAUGGGCGGAAGCCUGAUGCAGCAACGCCGCGUGAGGGAUGACGGCCUUCGGGUUGUAAACCUCUUUUAGCAGGGAAGAAGCGAAAGUGACGGUACCUGCAGAAAAAGCGCCGGCUAACUACGUGCCAGCAGCCGCGGUAAUACGUAGGGCGCAAGCGUUAUCCGGAAUUAUUGGGCGUAAAGAGCUCGUAGGUGGUUUGUCGCGUCUGCUGUGAAAACCCGAGGCUCAACCUCGGGCCUGUAGUGGGUACGGGCAGACUAGAGUGCGGUAGGGGAGAUUGGAAUUCCUGGUGUAGCGGUGGAAUGCGCAGAUAUCAGGAGGAACACCGAUGGCGAAGGCAGAUCUCUGGGCCGUAACUGACGCUGAGGAGCGAAAGGGUGGGGAGCAAACAGGCUUAGAAACCCCGGUAGUCC